CCCUCCCUGCCUUGCACACCAGGCAGCACUGUACCUGGGCCGUCCUCGUCCUCCUCGGCUGCUCUGUGCCACUGGUCCAGCGAGGGUCCGGGCAGAGCCUCGGUCUGCUGCACCUUGGCCUUAUCCUUGUCCCUCUUCUUCAGCUUCUUUUUCCUUUUCUUCUUUUUCUUCCUCUUCUUGUCCUUGUGCUUCCCCCGCUUCUUCCGGCCAUCGCUGGAGGAAGAGCAGCUGGAAGAACUGGAAGGAGAGGAGGAGGGGCUGGAUCGUGGUCUCCUCCGGGCCUUGUGUUUGCUUCUCUCUGUGACGCAGGGAGAAGGUGAGGCUGGAAGGCCAGGAGGCGAAGAAGUAAACCUUCGUCCCCUUGCUCUGGCCUGUAGCAGGCUUAGGCUGACUACAGAGGGGUGAGACCCUCCUGGCAGGGCUUUCUAGAGGAGGGCUCUGCACCCUGUGGAGAGGCACUUUCUGGGCUGCGCAGUCACUGCCUAGGAGCAGGGCGGCCAGCCUCCGUAUCUCAAACCCAGCUGCACCAAAAAUAUGAUUAAGUGCUCCCUUCACUCCGUACUCAAUGGGCUGGCCCAGCCCCUGGAUUCUGAGCGUCUUUCAAUCCAGAUAUCCAGGAUCUACACUCGUGUGCCUCUGAAUAGCGCUCACCGCGAUUUCCCCACAGCCAGUCCGGAGAAGCCCGCCCAGCUGCCUGCAACUUCCUCCAUGAAGUUCCCUCACCCCUUUCCCAUUCCCUCUGGUUCUCACCCUCCGCCCCAGAGGAGGUGGUGCUGGCCUUGCGGCUUCGGGAUCUAGAAGCCGAGCAGCUUCUCGGGGCGUCCUUACUGCUCUUCUUCCUUUUCUUUUCCGACCCUCGCCCCCGGGACCGGCUGCGACUCCUCGAGCGCUUGCGAGAGCCGACGUGAGCCAUAGCGCCGCGGGCUGGAGACGGGGAGACGCGCUUAAACUGGGGAUUGAUCACAGGGCCGGCCCACAGACUGGGUUCCGAGGGCGGCUCUACUCGGGGCCUGGUCACCACCCGGGGCAGGGAUAUUGAGGGGAUCCGUGCAACCGCACGAUCCUCGGCCACCCCCACCCCUGGGUACCCCGGGUUCUCCGCGGACUCCCGGAUCCUCCGCUGCGGCCCCUUUAAGGGCCCGCCCCCGCCCGGACGCUCCACGCCUGCGCACGCGGCUCAGGCGCCUCUAGAAACGGCCACGAUCCUCAGCUGCCAGGUGCGUUCUUCAUUCCUUUCCGCGCGCUCGUACCCUCCACCCCGCGCCCUCCGCGGCCUCGCCGCCUGAAAGAAAGUCCCCGCGGCUGCUCCGCUUCCUCCUCAACUGCCCAUCCGGCCGGACCGCCAACCCCGCACCACGCCUUCGCGUGAGGAAGCGGCGGCUGGGCGACUUCCGGCCCGGGACGGUGCUCUGGAAGGCCGUCCGACCGCGAAGCAAGGCGCUGCUGUCUUUAGUUCUGAAGCCCCAGGUUCCGUCUCUGGGACAGCCCAAGAAACUGAGUCUGACGCACUGACCUCCCGGAGAGGCGAGCUGCGGCUCCAGGCGGAGCUCCCAGACGAGAGGCCUGCUCUCUAGCCUGGCGCCAGUCCCGGAGCCCACGGGUCCUUUGCCGCAGCUAUGCCCUCUCCCGUCACUGUCCUUUCGCCGCGCCCGCAGCAUCCCUAGUCUCCGUGAUGCCCCAGGGAAGAGGCGACUGCGCGCCGCUUUCCUCUCUGGAUUGUCUGCGAACGUGUCCACUGCGACGGGCCGUAAGCUCCAGAGCCUUGGUCUUUACACCGUCUCCACCCAGUAAUACAGAGGUCGCAAACUCAAAUGUCCAUAAGGACCAGAGAGAGCAUGACAAUGAAUGACGGAAAGACCCCUGUGAGAAAGUGCACUGCAGGCCCGUCUAGACUGGGGGCAGCUGAGACCGCUUCUGCUGAUUACUGCAGUGUCGAUUGGGGCCCGGUGUUUCCAGAUCUUCCCACCUUCCCACGGAAGCCAGAACUCAAGCUUUCAACAUGGAAAACCCUCCCAAACACAGCAUAGCUGCAGGCCUCAUUCAAUCCUGGGGCCGCCAAGUUGCAAACUCUUCAAUAGUAACGACAGCAGCAAACUCACAGAUGGGGAAACCGAGGCUUGGAGAAUGUCUGCAGCGCUGGGGAUACAUCUCACCAGACAAUGUCCCCACCUCCUCGGGCCCAUCGGGUGGAGCCUCACCCACCCCAUAGUUGUUCAUGGUGUUGGGUCUUCCCUUGGGCAUGUCUGACUGCUCGAAGUGGUCCAGCUCCUCCAGCAGGGCCUGGCAGAACGACGCUGUGAACACCGGCAGCCGGUAGAUACGCUUCUCCUCUGUGGAGGGAGGGACAGUCGGUUGGCCGGGAGCUCCGGUGUGGGUUUCAAUCUACCCAUAAACUUUUCACUUCCCCCAG